rnacentral:rRNA from 1 species
UAUUGCACAAUGGAGGAAACUCUGAUGCAGCGACGCCGCGUGAAUGAUGAAGGCCUUCGGGUUGUAAAGUUCUGUCCUUGGGGAAGAUAAUGACGGUACCCAAGGAGGAAGCCCCGGCUAACUACGUGCCAGCAGCCGCGGUAAUACGUAGGGGGCGAGCGUUGUCCGGAAUUAUUGGGCGUAAAGGGUUCGCAGGCGGUCUGAUAAGUCAGAUGUGAAAGGCGUAGGCUUAACCUAUGUAAGCAUUUGAAACUGUCAGACUUGAGUUAAGGAGAGGAAAGUGGAAUUCCUAGUGUAGCGGUGAAAUGCGUAGAUAUUAGGAGGAAUACCAGUGGCGAAGGCGACUUUCUGGACUUAUACUGACGCUGAGGAACGAAAGCGUGGGGAGCAAACAGGA